CUACGUUUACUCCAAGUUCCAUUUUAAUUGAAGUCAACUUUGUGACCUCUUCGGAGCCCCUCACAUCAUUCGAACCUCCAUCCUUCUCUUGCGUUUCAGUUUUUCUGUUGAAGGGCUGUAUUCCAUCUCCGCCAUUGAGAAUAUUUCUAAUGCUGAGCAAAUUGCCGAGUUAAAUUUUGCAAUAGCUGAUGUGGCUUGGUGGCUUUCUGCUUAACGUGGUCCAAUAAUGCGAUGCGAAAGUUUUUGCCCAUAGAUUGAAAGGGUCCAUUCUGGUUCAAGGACAAAUUUCUCGGUUUUAGCGUUUUAAUGAUUUUCAUGUCUAAAUUGCUCAUGCUGUGCAUUGUUUGCCCGCAGAUCACUGAAUUUUGUUGAAGAUUUUAAGGAGAAAAGAAAGCCAUAUGGGAUCUGCCUCACAACUUGCGGACUCGUUUGUCCGUUCUGCUGAGGAUGAAGUUUGGUACAUCGUGAAGAUAGCAAGUCCAAAAUGUGACGAGUUAGAUGUUAUUCCAAGUAAUUGGCUUAUAGACAAAAAUCAAUGUCACUAUCCCCCUGCAAUGGCCAAAUAUAGGGCCAAGAGGAGACUUAUAUCCAAAGAUUGGGAAGUCAUGAAGAUAAUGUCGACUUCAAAGCCAUAUUGUAAUUAUGAUUCUGCAGUGACAGAUUGUAUAAGGCUCCUCUCUGGAAAAAACACACAAAGUGCGAGUGAUGCUGAACCGAAAGGACUAGGUUGCCGCAAAAAAAAAAUUACCCAAGUGUUUUCACCGCAGGCUUCGCCGGUGAAAAAAAAGGGUAAAAAGGAUCUGCACCACUUACUGACCAGAUACUUCAAAGAGAGAAUAACAUUUCUCAGAAAAAAAGUGGGAAAUUAGUUUUUCCAACUCCACCGUUAUUAGAAAAACCUGCCCCUAAGAGUACUCUGUCACCGUCAAUUCUGAAAGAAAACAAGGCUCCCAAAAAGCAAUUAUUUUCAGUAGACAUGUUUGAUGGUUGCGAAGAAGAUCUUUUAAUAAACCCCUCUUGCAACAACAAGCUCAAAACUGGAAAGUGUGUUCAGAAGGAGAAACCUGCCCCUAAGAGUACUCAGUCACCGUCAAUUCUGAAAGAAAACCAGGCUCCCAAGAAGCAAUCAUUUUCAGCAGACCUUUUUGACGGGUGCGAAGAAGAUCUUUUAAUAAACCCCUCUUGCAACAACAAGCUCAAAACUGGAAAGUGUGGUCAGAAGGAGAAACCUGCCCCUAAGAGUGCUCAGUCACCGUCAAUUCUGGAAGAAAUCAAGGCUCCCAAGAAGCAAUCAUUUUCAGCAGACCCUCUUGACGGGUGCGAAGAAGAUCUUUUAAUAAGCUCUUCUUGCAACAACAAGCUCAAAAGUGGAAAGAGUGGCCAGAAGGAGAAACCCUCAGGUGACGACAAUCCAGUUAACAAAGAAUCAGAUUAUGCAUGCAGCAUCAGGCACAAGCUGAUUCCGUGUGCCAAUCCUAGAGGGGACCCCACAUUAGCUGAUAUGGCUCUCACGAUCUGUGCCCUAGCAAAACAGAUAGAGAGCCUCACCCGAAUGAUUGCCAAUAUGCAAGCAGAUGUAAACAUUCUGGCCACACAAGAACCCUCCAGAGAACCCUCGGAGAAAAAUAAGUCGAGUAGCAAAGAAGUCUUCAAUUCUUUGCCAUUUGCAGAUUUUGAUCAACUAAUAGAAUUCGACGAUAAAAUCAGGGCAGACAGCAAGUUAUCUGAAAAAUUGGUCAGUUACCUGUACAAAAAGGUUGAUAAGUCAGCCGUUAGCAAGAUGGCUCGGGAUGUAGUGAGAAACGUCAUAACACCGGAAGUAUACGUUAAGCUAAACCUCCACGGCAAGGGAGACUUCAACAAGCAAGGUUGGACAGAGCUCCACAUGUUCCAAGUGCAGCAAAGUGUGGUGUCCAAGAAAUUUGGAGACUCGGAUCUGGUAAUGAAUAAACUGAAAACCACCACAGGCCUGUUCCUUGUCCAAGAGGCCGGAAAAUUGACAAAGAAACAGAAUCUUAGGGCAGCUUCAACACCUCUCAGUGCAAUUAUGCAGCCAGUCAAUAUCAAUGAAAAUGAUGAAUCUGAGGUGCUCAGUGAUUCCACAGCAGUACCCAACGAGAAUAAUGACUUCCUCAGCGACCUUGAUGAGGAUACAUGUUUCGCAGAAGGAUCUCAAUAGGAAGUUACUUCUUUGUCGUGUACUUAAAUGUUACGAUUAUCGUGUUUUCUCUUCUUAUACCUAAUGAGACCAAUUGGACUGCGUUAAACAGAAAGGAACCAAGCCACCUCAGCUUUUGCCAAAUUAAACUGAACAAUUUAAUUUUUUACAUGAGAGCUUUUGUGCCGAUUUUGUUGAAAAUUUUAAGGGAUUUGUCUCGUACCAUGCAGCAAAUUCACUGAAAUUUUCAAACAAAUCCGCACAACCGUUUUUAUGUAAUAAAUUUAAUUGACCAGUUAAAUUUGGCAAUAGCUGAUGUGGCUUGGUUCCUUUCUGUUUGAUGCGGUCCAAUAGGUCAGUUGCACCAGUCACAGAAUCGUUUUUUGAUGCUUGAUUCUUGUAUAUUAUGUAAAAAAAACAAUAUAUCUGUCAAAAUAGCAACUUUCUACAGUCAAUAUUAACCAAGAUAUUGCCCUUUGAAAAUUUGGGUUUUGACAUCAUCCAAUGCGGUAGUGACACCCUUGGUUUCUUCCACCUUGUCUUCAUCAAUCAGUGAGACACACGUUUGCACUGGUUAUUCCAGGUGAAUCUUAGAUAAGAGGAAGGUGGAAGGAACCAAGGGUGUCACUACUGCGGUGGAUGACGUCAAAAACUAAGUUUUUUGAAGCGCGUUAUCUCAAUUAAUAUAAAACAUUGAAAGUUGUUGUUUGGACGGAUCUCAUUAUUUUGAGCUAACCUACAAGAAUCAAGCAUUAAAACGUAAUCCUGUGACCAGCGCAACUGACUCAUUGUAAGUAUCAAAGACUAUCAAAGUCUAAGACUGUUCAAGUCAUUUGGUCUUUUUCAAUUGUUAAUUGUUUAAAAGCUCAUUUUCUUUUUCACUUUUUUAAGUUACUGAAUAGCUAUUCCUUAGUGGUGUAUUUUAAUGUUCCUAAAUUGAGGAGUUCUUUGGCAUAGCCACGUAUAACGAAAAAUAUAGUUGUGAGAAAUACGCUAUUGAAAGUUUGAUAGUGCAUUUUUUCGAAACUACUCAAAAGGUGUCAAAAUGGGACAUUCGCGCAUUAGACGAUAAUUUUUCGCCAAUCUUCUCAAAACUUGACAUUUUCGGUCUUUAUGGGAAAAGGAAUCCAAUAUUAUGUUCAGUAUUUGGUUCAUAGUGACAAUCCCGCCAAAAAAUUGUGUUGCCAAGUCUCUGUUUUUAAUCUAUUUGAUAAACAGAUUAGCAUGAUUAUGGUAGAGAUUUAACGCGCGUGUCGUUUGCUUUUUUUUCAUUGAAAAAGAAAAUGAAUUCACUUAUCCUGAAAUUGAGAAAUGCAUCUUAUUAAGAAUACACCCCCCCCCCCACCAUCGUCUUACCUAUCGCAAAAACCGCAGCAAUAUUUGACUAUAGGGGAAUGAAUUCAUCAAUGGGCAAACAUUAAAGUGAAUCCGAAAAUCAUAAACGAAUAAGUUGCUCUCAAAUAUUAUCAUUCUUUGACACAGAUGCUGUUUUUCCCGGUUUUUUUUUUUUCCUGUUCUUUUCUUGUCCCGUUUCUGUAAUGGGCUCGUCCCAAUGUGCGUGGUUAUGCCAAAGAACUCCUCAAUUGUACUUGGCUCUCUCUAUAAAAGUUAAAACUUUCUACAAAUGAAAGGUGUUAAGAAGUGGUCCACUACCUAGCCUCUCUUUUUUUCAGUAUUAUUGAGUUAUCUCACGGCAGCUCACGUACAAGCUUCAUUCCUUUUAACUUUUUCUCUUCUUGUACUUAAUAAGACUAAUUGUAAGUAUCAUAGUCAAUUGAAGCCUAAGACUGUUCAUUGUUCAUUUAUUUUAUUUUUUUUUUCCUUUCUUUUUUCGUUAACUGUUUUAUAAACAAGAAUCAGCCGUCACUUGUGCCUUUAAGUUGCCUAUAUUUGUUGUUUAUGAAUUAUGAGUGUAAGAUUUAUAUGUUCCUACAUCAUUGUUCCUUGAAA
rnacentral:lncRNA from 1 species